rnacentral:miRNA from 1 species
ACUUCUUCCUUCGGAUUCACAAAUAGAAGAGAGGGUGUGCCGGAGCUUUUCGCUCCGGCACACCCUCUCUUCUUAUGCGCCCGUUCGAUACGUACUUAUCGAUCCGUUCGAUAUGAAUGACACUUCAUCUUCUUUUUCCGACUGUUGCGCUCUACUUUACCGUUA